rnacentral:lncRNA from 1 species
CAGAGGCGGUGAUCUGAGGGGAGGGCUGCCGCAGGGGGACAGGGAGUGCGGCCAGAGGGGCUGGGAAAGGACAGGGUCAGGGCCGGUGGGGUGUGGGUGUGUGUCUGUGUCUGUGUGUCUGUGUCUGUCAGUGUGUGUCUGUGUGUGUGUCUGUGUGUGUGUCUGUGUGUGUGUCUGUGUGUGUCUGUGUGUCUGUGUCUGUCAGUGUGUGUCUGUGUGUGUGUCUGUGUGUGUGUCUGUGUGUGUGUCUGUGUGUCUGUGUGUGUGUCUGUGUGUGUGUCUGUGUGUGUCUGUGUGUGUCUGUGUGUGUGUGAGUGAGUGUGUGUCUGUGUCUGUGUGUCUGUGUGUGUCUGUGUGUCUGUGUGUGUCUGUCUGUCAGUCUGUGUCUGUGUGUGUCUGUGUGUCUGUGUGUGUGUGUGUGUGUCUGUGUGUGUCUGUGUGUCUGUGUGUGUCUGUGUGUCUGUGUGUGUCUGUCUGUCAGUCUGUGUCUGUGUGUGUGUCUGUGUGUGUCUGUGUGUCUGUGUGUGUCUGUGUGUCCCUCUGUGUGUGCGUGUACGUGUGUCUGUACGUGUAUCUGUGUGUGUGUCUGUCUGUGUGUCUAUCUGUGUGUGUGCGUGUGUCUCAGUGUCUGUGUGUCUCUGUGUGUGUGUCUGUGUGUGUCUACCUGUGUCCGUGUGUGUGUGUCUGUCAGUCUGUGUGUAUGUGUCUGUGUCUGUCUCUGUGUGUGUGUGUGUGUGUGUGUGUAUGCGUGUCUGUCCAUCUGUCUGUGUCUAUGUGUGUCUGUGUGUGUCUGUCUGUCAGUCUGUGACUGUAUGUGUGUGUGUCCAUCUGUCUGUGUCUGUGUGUGUGUCUGUCUGUCAGUCUGUGUGUCUGUGUCUGUGUCUAUGUGUGUCUGUGUGUGUGUGUCUGUCAGUCUGUGUCUGUCUGUCAGUCUGUGUGUGUGUCUGUGUCUAUGUGUGUCUGUGUCUGUCUGUCUGUCAGUCUGUGACUGUGUGUGUGUCUGUGUCUAUGUGUGUCAGUCUGUGUCUCUGUGUGUCUAUGUGUGUCUGUGUCUGUCAGUCUGUCUGUCAGUCUGUGUCUCUGUGUGUCUCUGUGUGUCUGUGUCUGUCAGUCUGUCUGUGUGUGUGUGUG